rnacentral:tRNA from 1 species
AGCUCGUUAGCUCACUCGGUUAGAGCAUGGUGCUGAUAAUACCAAGGUCACAGGUUUGAUUCCUGUUCGGUCCC